GUUAUUCUUAAAAUGAAUGAAUGCUUUCAAUUAUUGACCAGGAUGUAAAGACUGUAUCUGGACAAGAAUGCCAUCAACAGUACAUAUUUUUUGAGAUGAGAUAAAUUUGCACUCACCUUUAACCUUACCUCUUCUUUGACCAUAGGGCGUAUGUGGAUGCAACGACACCCCAGUGUUGCUUAGUAACCUGAUGCCACUGACAGAGUACACUGUGAUCAUCUUGGCUUUGUAUGAUGGAGGUCGCCAAGCCAAGCCCCUGACUGGCUGAUUUACCACCAAGACAGUCCCAGAGCCUCUGAACCUAAAGACCAGUGAAGUCUCCACAGAGAGCUUCAGGGUCACCUGGGAACACUCAGCCCAAGACAUGGUCCUCUACAGACUCACCUGGACCCCAACCAGAGGAGGAGACACUAAAGAGAAAACCGUAACACCCUCUGACUGGACUGAUUCCCAACACUGAAUACAAGGUGGCCGUGUCCUCCACCUUCAGAGACAAUUUCAAAAGUGACGCCGUGAACAUCAACGAGUCAACAGGUCAGGGUUCGAGUGAAAGUUCUAGUGAAGGUUCUAGUUAGGAGGGAUCUCCAACUGGCAGCCAUGAAGAUACUGAUGAGAACCAAGAACUGUUACCUGGUAAAGGUCUGUAUAUAUCAACCUCCCUCUCUGCA